rnacentral:lncRNA from 1 species
AAUGUACUGGUUCUGACUGAAAGUUUUCUUCAAGGCAUUUGAGACCAGAUAGGCAGAAUGUCUUUUUAAAAAUUCCAGCUACUUUGAUAUGAACAUGCAAAUUUCUUAAACCAUAUUUUUAUAUAAAAGUUUAACGAAGGUGUUUUUAGAUCCAUGAGGCUCCUUGCAGUAAAAUUGAACUGUCUAUGUGUUCAUAGGUAUAUUUCUAUGAUUAAAGAUUUGAUGGAC